UGAGUAUUACUUCAGCAUAGAGAACUUGGAACGGGACUUCUUUCUUCGAAGAAAGAUGGAUGAGCAGGGAUUUCUGCCCAUUUCCCUGAUUGCUGGUUUUCACCGUGUGCAGGCUCUCACCACAAACCUUAAUCUCAUCUUGGAGCCCCCCCUGUUCAAUAAAGCCCAGGCUGGGAUCCUCCUGCCUCUGUCUCCCUGGUGCUAGCACUGCAGGUCUGAGGCAUCACAAACAGCUGCUCCUGAUCUUUGACGUCUCACAGUGCCUUUGGGAUUGAUUGCUUUGUUUUGUUUCAGCCCUCCCCUGCUGUCCCUCAGCAUACCCAUGCACUAAUGGAUGACUGUGUUCCAUUUUGGAGAUUGUAAAUAAAGACUGAGGUCUC
rnacentral:lncRNA from 1 species